UACGGGGGGGGCAAGCGUUGUUCGGAAUUACUGGGCGUAAAGGGCUUGUAGGUGGCCAACUAAGUCAGACGUGAAAUCCCUCGGCUUAACCGGGGAACUGCGUCUGAUACUGGAUGGCUUGAGUGUGGGAGAGGGAUGCGGAAUUCCAGGUGUAGCGGUGAAAUGCGUAGAUAUCUGGAGGAACACCGGUGGCGAAGGCGGGUCUCUGGGCAACAACUGACGCUGAGGAGCGAAAGCGUGGGGAGCGAACAGG
rnacentral:rRNA from 1 species